UAGCCUUGUAUUCAAUAAUGAUAUUUGAUUGCAAAUCUAAAGGAGCUUAAUGGCUAAGGCUUA
rnacentral:tRNA from 1 species